GGGACGAACGCUGGCGGCGUGCUUAACACAUGCAAGUCGAGCGGUGAUCCUCCUUCGGGAGGUGAUCAGCGGCGAACGGGUGAGUAACACGUGGGCAACCUGCCCCUCACACUGGGAUAACCUCGGGAAACCGGGGCUAAUACCGGAUACGACCUCGAGCGGCAUCUCUUGAGGUGGAAAGCUCCGACGGUGAGGGAUGGGCCCGCGGCCUAUCAGCUUGUUGGUGGGGUAAUGGCCUACCAAGGCGACGACGGGU
rnacentral:rRNA from 1 species